CAACACACCUGCAAAGAGUCCCUUGGCAAGCACCCACCUCAAGCAGGCCAGAAAACCAUUGUCCAGAGUCAACUGGGAGGGGGUCCUCAGGGUCUUCUUGCCAUGCUGGUGGGCAGAAAU